UGCGCGAUAGUGAAAUUGGCAUCACGUGGGUCUCAUAAGCCCAAAUUUCGGGUUCGAGCCCCGGUUGCGCAA
rnacentral:tRNA from 1 species